GGCAGUGGUGGCUCAGUGGUUAAAGGCUCUGGAUUACUGAUCCGAAGGUCAGGAGUUCAGGCCCCAGCUCUGCCA